GAAGCGGGCGUAGCUCACGCUGCCAAUCCGGAGGCCUUUGCGCCCCCUGAAUUGUGGUCUAGAGAGGCGCCUUCGGGCGCGCGCGCCGCUCAAGUCCCUUGGAAGAGGGUAUCGGAGAGGGUGAGAAUCCCGUACCGUGGCCGCGCGCGUCCUCACGAUGCGUCCUCGUCGAGUCGGGUUGCUUGGGAUUGCAGCUUGAA
rnacentral:rRNA from 14 species